AGCGAACGCUGGCGGCAGGCCUAACACAUGCAAGUCGAACGAAGUCUUCGGACUUAGUGGCGGACGGGUGAGUAACACGUGGGAACGUGCCUUUAGGUUCGGAAUAACUCAGGGAAAAUUGUGCUAAUACCGAAUGUGCCCUUCGGGGGAAAGAUUUAUCGCCUUUAGAGCGGCCCGCGUCAGAUUAGCUAGUUGGUGAGGUAAAGGCUCACCAAGGCGACGAUCAGUAGCUGGUCUGAGAGGAUGAUCAGCCACAUUGGGACUGAGACACGGCCCAAACUCCUACGGGAGGCAGCAGUGGGGAAUCUUGCGCAAUGGGCGAAAGCCUGACGCAGCCAUGCCGCGUGAAUGAUGAAGGUCUUAGGAUUGUGAAAUUCUUUCACCGGGGACGAUAAUGACGGUACCCGGAGAAGAAGCCCCGGCUAACUUCGUGCCAGCCGCCGCCGUAA
rnacentral:rRNA from 1 species